ACAAAAAUCAUGUUGACUACCAUGCUGAAUGUUUCCCAACAAAUUACAUUCAUCUAGGAGUCUGACAAUUUUGUUCUUUACUAUCUUUUCAACUAGUUUGCCUGAUACUGAAGUCAGGCGUACUGGCCUGUAAUUGCCGGGAUUACCUCUGAAGCCCUUUUUAAAAACUGGCAUCACAUUAGC